CCUACGGGUGACAGCAGUGAGGAAUAUUGGUCAAUGGACGAGAGUCUGAACCAGCCAAGUAGCGUGAAGGAUGACUGCCCUAUGGGUUGUAAACUUCUUUUAUAAAGGAAUAAAACGAGGCACGUGUGCCUUUUUGCAUGUACUUUAUGAAUAAGGAUCGGCGAACUCCGUGCCAGCAGCCGCGGUAAUACGGAGGAUCCGAGCGUUAUCCGGAUUUAUUGGGUUUAAAGGGAGCGUAGAUGGGUUGUUAAGUCAGUUGUGAAAGUUUGCGGCUCAACCGUAAAAUUGCAAUUGAUACUGGCAGUCUUGAGUACAGGUGAGGUAGGCGGAAUUCGUGGUGUAGCGGUGAAAUGCUUAGAGAUCACGAAGAACCCCGAUUGCGAAGGCAGCUUACUAAACUGUGACUGACAUUGAUGCUCGAAAGUGUGGGUAGCAAACAGGAUUAGAUACCCGUGUAGUC
rnacentral:rRNA from 1 species